CCCAGAUCCUCGACCCCCCCAUAGUUCCCUUACAUCCUUAACCUAUUUUCCCUUCCCCUUUAGGGAACACGUCCAGGAACAGAGUCAAGAACACGGAAAGUGGCCAGACUGAAGGCACCAUUCCUCAAAGAUGAAGGUGGGAGUUGCAUGUGCUCGACAAAGCUCCUUAGCCUGACCAACCUCAAGUCUGUAGAAGCAGAGACAAAAUGUCACUCAGAAAGAAGACAGAGGGGUGCUAGAGCUGUGGGUACUCGUUUCUCCUUGACAUCCAAGAAGACUCAUUGCUUAAUUCCCUCCUGAGGCCACAGACUUUCGUCUUACCCACAGGAGCCCAUGGGACUGCACUCUGCCCCUCCAGAGCACAGGCUGGUAUAACCAAAUGGUGUGCCUGGCAUUGACCUCAGUCAGCAGGGUUUGCCAAGUACACACAAAUCAUUUCUGGCCCUAGAAGUGUCUUGAAUGCUUGCAACUUAAGGCAAACUGCCAGACCCACUCGGUCUAGCUAUCCAGAACCUUCGCCAUGCCUCUCCCCUCUACUCAACAGCAGCCCCAGUUGGGUGUGGUGGCAUAUACUGAUAAUCCCUGUUCUUGGGAGGUGGGGGUAAAAAGGAUGAAGUGUUUGAGGCCAGUCUCAGACACAGUGAAUUCAAGGCCAAC